ensembl:lncRNA
ACGCGGAGAGGAUUAGUUUGACACCCACUGGGCGCGGGCCCCGCGUGGCGGUCAGUAAGGCUCCAUACAGUUCCAAGUACUUGAUAUGCGCGAGGCUCACAGCCUCCCCAUCCACAUUUUACGUGGGCGGAUACUAAGGAGCGGAGAAGUUAACGAGAGGGAGCUGUGGGUCUGCAGAUCCCGCGUUGUCAUGCAUGUCAGUGCCUCGUGUGUUCUCAACGCUGCCUCAGAGUCCGCUGAUUGGAUUGCCCUGAAAAUGCUCUCGGUCUGGUUCAUGGAGACGCAGGUUCCAGCCCUGGUUUGGGAAGAUCCCACGUUCUGUGGAGUAACUAAGCAUGUGGGCCACAACUGCAGAGCCCAAACUCUAUAGAGCUUGUACGGCACAACAAAAGAAGCCACCGCUAUGAGAAACCCACGCAUCAUAACUAGAGAAAGCCCUCGUAUAGCAACGAAGACCC